ACGUGCUUGCACUGAUUUCAACAAUGAAGCGAGUGGCGAACUGGUGAGUAACACGUGGGGAAUCUGCCCAGAAGCAGGGGAUAACACUUGGAAACAGGUGCUAAUACCGUAUAACAACAAAAUCCGCAUGGAUUUUGUUUGAAAGGUGGCUUCGGCUAUCACUUCUGGAUGAUCCCGCGGCGUAUUAGUUAGUUGGUGAGGUAAAGGCCCACCAAGACGAUGAUACGUAGCCGACCUGAGAGGGUAAUCGGCCACAUUGGGACUGAGACACGGCCCAAACUCCUACGGGAGGCAGCAGUAGGGAAUCUUCCACAAUGGACGAAAGUCUGAUGGAGCAAUGCCGCGUGAGUGAAGAAGGGUUUCGGCUCGUAAAACUCUGUUGUUAAAGAAGAACACCUUUGAGAGUAACUGUUCAAGGGUUGACGGUAUUUAACCAGAAAGCCACGGCUAACUACGUGCCAGCAGCCGCGGUAAUACGUAGGUGGCAAGCGUUGUCCGGAUUUAUUGGGCGUAAAGCGAGCGCAGGCGGUUUUUUAAGUCUGAUGUGAAAGCCUUCGGCUUAACCGGAGAAGUGCAUCGGAAACUGGGAGACUUGAGUGCAGAAGAGGACAGUGGAACUCCAUGUGUAGCGGUGGAAUGCGUAGAUAUAUGGAAGAACACCAGUGGCGAAGGCGGCUGUCUAGUCUGUAACUGACGCUGAGGCUCGAAAGCAUGGGUAGCGAACAGGAUUAGAUACCCUGGUAGUCCAUGCCGUAAACGAUGAGUGCUAAGUGUUGGAGGGUUUCCGCCCUUCAGUGCUGCAGCUAACGCAUUAAGCACUCCGCCUGGGGAGUACGACCGCAAGGUUGAAACUCAAAGGAAUUGACGGGGGCCCGCACAAGCGGUGGAGCAUGUGGUUUAAUUCGAAGCUACGCGAAGAACCUUACCAGGUCUUGACAUCUUCUGCCAAUCUUAGAGAUAAGACGUUCCCUUCGGGGACAGAAUGACAGGUGGGGGCAUGGUUGUCCUCAGCUCCUGUCCUGAAAAGUUUGGGUUAAAUCCCGCACCGAGCGCAACCCUUAUUAUCAGUUGCCAGCAUUCAUUUGGGGCCUCUGGUGAGAAUGCCGGGAAAACCGAAGAAAGAGGGGGGGGGGGGGGGGCAAAUCAACCU
rnacentral:rRNA from 2 species